ACUUUUCAAAGGAACACUUAAAUCCCUCCGACAGGCCCUCUGGUGGUGACGUAUAUAAGUGCUUUCUCAGUUCUUUCUCUCGCUUUUGGACAAAUCCAAGUGCUGUAUCUGUACCCGAAUAGAAAUAAAGAUAAAAUAAAAAUUUUAAUGAAACAGUUUUCUUCC